rnacentral:snoRNA from 1 species
UAUGCAAGUGAUGAUAAAACAGACAGGGACAUCAGAACUUCAGUAUGAUGAUUUGUCGUUGGGAAUCUCUCUGAUGCAUA